GGGCCACCCACCAGCCCGGACUCCGCCCCACGUUCCGCAGCUGAACCUCACGCCGGUCCCCACGCCGGGCGCUGAUCGGGUCCCGCCAGUCUUGACCGCACACCCACCGUCUCUGGUCUGCCGAGUGAUUCGCUGACCUCCCGAGGAAUCUUUAGAAACCCGUGCGGGGAGACACAGGCCGCGCAGAGCCUACCGAGCUUCCGGAGCAGAGGACGCGGGCCUGCGUGGAAGGAGCUCCGCAGACGAGGAAGAAAAGCCCGCGAGACUGCCGAAGCCCGCCUUUGCUGUCCGUUCGCGCGCUGGACUGGACAGUUCCGCCCCACCGCCCUGAUGGACAAUACCUAGGCAACGCCCCCGUCGUUCACCCUCGCGGUUGCGCUGAGACCUGAUCCUGUGGGGACGCGUUCGCUAUGAAGCAGGCAGAAGAUAGUUUAGAAAUGGUUGUCACGAACGGAGCAAAGCAGAGGAAGAGAUGUGCCGCUCCUGCCUGAAGCGACUUGAGCUUUGCUUCCUGACCCUUCCUACUGUUGUGACUGCUUGGGCGCUCAAGGGAGCCCGGCUUCUAGGGCAGCAGCCUGCGGUGGCGACCUGAUGGGUGCCACCAGCGUAGUUCACAGGUCUGGAAGCCACAGGGACCAAGUUCAAGCAGAAUAUGCCACCUUCCGUGUUGAUAUGGAUUGCACACCAGAUGUUCCCCAAGAGCUCACAUGUGACACCCAUCAGGAACAUUCAGAGGUGGUGCUGAGCAUCGAACCCAGUGCCUCAUGCAUGCUAGGCAAGCACGUUAUCACUGAGCUACAAACACAGUUGGUAGGCUUCUGAUGGCAUUUUCUAUUUCAUUACUUGAAACUGAUCUGUUUAAAGCAUGCAUGACUUCCUCAUUCAGUUUGUAUAGGUCAUAUGUCUAGAAAUUUGUCAAUGUCUUUAAUAUUUUCUAUUUUAUUAGAGUAUAAAUUUUCAAAAUA